rnacentral:pre_miRNA from 1 species
AUUCUACUCCCUCCGUUGCACAAUACAUGCCUUCUAUUUGUCAAAAUAUAUAUGUAUCUAGACAUGUCUUAGUAUAUAGGUACAUCCAUUUUUUGACAAAUGGAAGUCAAGUAUUUUGGAACGGAGGGAGUACAUA